AACUAUUUGAGAUCAAACUGGAAAUUAGAGAUAAAGAGUAUGUCUGCUUCACAGCUCGAGGCUGGCACAUGGUACUUGAACACCAUCCUGAUGUGUCUCUCUUAUUAUUAUUAAGAAUUUAAAACCCAUUCAAAGAGAAUGGAUUUUUUUCUGGUUUAUUUGGUUUUGCUUAAGUUUUGCUUUAGUCGUCCCUUGUGCUGUGAACAAGAGUGAAAGAAAAUACCAUCUUUUGGAGCCCAGGAAAUGGAUGAAGAAAAGGAAAGAAGAUAUCUGAGAAGAAGAACUAGUGUAAAGAGUGACAGGUUGGAGUAUAAGUACUUGGACAUUUUGGUAGAUGAAUGUUUAUUUUAUUGUAGAAGUGUAACGAUUUAUGACUCAAUAUGUCAACAAAAAAUGUAAGCUGA